UACGAAGGGGGCUAGCGUUGCUCGGAUUUACUGGGCGUAAAGGGCGCGUAGGCGGAUGACCAAGUUGGGGGUGAAAUCCCGGGGCUCAACCUCGGAACUGCCUCCAAAACUGGUCGUCUUGAGUAUGGGAGAGGUGUGUGGAACUCCGAGUGUAGAGGUGAAAUUCGUAGAUAUUCGGAAGAACACCAGUGGCGAAGGCGACACACUGGCCCAUUACUGACGCUGAGGCGCGAAAGCGUGGGGAGCAAACAGG
rnacentral:rRNA from 1 species